UUUUAUGAAAGUUUAUUUUGUAAACAAAGUAACGUAUUUUUUACUUUCUUUUUAUUCAAUAUAUGUAGGCUGAAAAAAAAGUGUUUUAUCAUAAUCACAAUUUAAUAAAGAAGGAAUUUUCUAAUCACCACCUCAUUUACUUUAAAAUAUAGAAUCAGAUAAGCUUAAUGAGAAUCACGCAAUUUAUUAAUCAAAAUGGGGAAAAACAGGAAUGUACUACUGAAGGCUAAAGAUCGAAAUGAAAUACCCAAUUUCAUUUGCAGGAUAAAUCCAGACAUAUAUUCAAUUCGGGUAACGCGUAGCAUUAGUAAAAUAAUGAACUCUUUAAAAGAUUUCACCAUUGUCGAGGUGUAUAGAUGUAUGCCUCUUUUGGGUGACGAAGGAAAUGUGCCAAAUUGGCAAGUCCAUCUGAUAAAGUAUUCGAUAGUAUUUAAACAGAUAGAUAUUUAAAGUAAAUAAAAAGUGAGACAACUAACUAAGAGGGAUUUAUUUAAGUCCCUUAACAGAAAUUGAGGUAUCAUUUAAAUCGUACACAUUAACUGUAUAUCACUAUUAUCAACAAUCAAA